AUACUCUGGUUUCUCUUCAGAUCGUAUAAAUCUUUCGCCUUUUACUAAAGAUUUCCGUGGAGAGGAACAAUUCUGAGUCUUUAACCAAUUUUUUGAGGCCUUACCUUCUGGUGAGGCU